CGCACAUUGCGCCCUUUGGUAUUCCUUAGGGCAUGCCUGUUCGAGCGUCAUCUAACCCCUCAAGCAACGCUUGGUGUUGGGCGCCUGUCCCGCCUCCGCGCGCGGACUCGCCUCGAAGACAUUGGCGGCCUGUGUAUUGGCCACGAGCGCAGCAGACCCGCGGCUCGUGCCCUCUCGCGCAGGCGCUCCAGGAAGCGCGAAACCCCAGUUUUGACCUCGGAUCAGGUAGGGAUACCCGCUGAACUUAA
rnacentral:misc_RNA from 1 species